AUUGAACGCUGGCGGCAGGCCUAACACAUGCAAGUCGAGCGGAUGAAGGGAGCUUGCGCCUGGAUUCAGCGGCGGACGGGUGAGUAAUGCCCAGGAAUCUGCCGGGCAUUGGGGGAUGACGUCCGGAAACGGGUGCUAAUACCGCAUACGUCCUGAGGGUGAAACUGGGGGAGCUUCGGACCUCACGCUAUCAGAGGAGCCUAGGUCGGAUUAGCUAGCUGGUGGGGUAAAGGCCUACCAAGGCGGCGAUCCGUAACUGGUCUGAGUGGAUGAUCAGUCACCCUGGAGCGGGGCCACGCACCAGACUCCUGCGAGAGGGAGCAGUGGCGUAUGUUGGACAGUAGGCGAGAGCCUGGUCCAACCGUGCCACGUGUGUGGCGGAGGUCUUCCGAGCGUAAAGCACUUUAAGUUGGGAGGAAGGGCAGUAGGUUGAUACGUAGCUGUUUUGACGUUACCAGCAGAAUAAGCACCGGCUAACUUCGUG
rnacentral:rRNA from 1 species